rnacentral:rRNA from 1 species
AUUGAACGCUGGCGGCAGGCCUAACACAUGCAAGUCGAACGAGUGGCGGACGGGUGAGUAAUGUCUGGGAAACUGCCUGAUGGAGGGGGAUAACUACUGGAAACGGUAGCUAAUCCCGCAUACCAUCAAAUGUGCCCAGAUGGUAUUAGCUUGUUGGUGGGGUAACGGCUAACCAAGGCGACGAUCCCUAGCUGGUCUGAGAGGAUAACCAGCAAACCGGGAAAUGAGAAACGGUCCAAGCUCCUCCGGGAGGAAGCAGUGGGGAAUAUUGCAAAAUGGGCGCAAGCCUGAUGCAGCCAUGCCGCGUGUAUGAAGAAGGCCUUCGGGUUGUAAAGUACGUUCAGCGGGGAGGCGUUACCCGCAGAAGAAGCACCGGCUAACUCCGUGCCAGCCGCCGCGGUAAUAC